rnacentral:rRNA from 1 species
UACAGAGGUCUCAAGCGUUGUUCGGAUUCAUUGGGCGUAAAGGGUGCGUAGGCGGCGCGGUAAGUCGGGUGUGAAAUCUCGGGGCUUAACUCCGAAACUGCAUUCGAUACUGCCGUGCUUGAGGACUGGAGAGGAGACUGGAAUUUACGGUGUAGCGGUGAAAUGCGUAGAUAUCGUAAGGAAGACCAGUGGCGAAGGCGGGUCUCUGGACAGUUCCUAACGCUGAGGCACGAAGGCCAGGGGAGCAAACGGG